rnacentral:rRNA from 1 species
GAGGAAAAGAAACCAACAGGGAUUGCCUUAGUAGCGGCGAGUGAAGCGGCAAAAGCUCAAAUUUGAAAUCUGGCUCUUUCAGAGUCCGAGUUGUAAUUUGAAGAAGGUAUCUUUGGGUCUGGCUCUUGUCUAUGUUUCUUGGAACAGAACGUCACAGAGGGUGAGAAUCCCGUGCGAUGAGAUGAUCCAGGCCUAUGUAAAGUUCCUUCGAAGAGUCGAGUUGUUUGGGAAUGCAGCUCUAAGUGGGUGGUAAAUUCCAUCUAAAGCUAAAUAUUGGCGAGAGACCGAUAGCGAACAAGUACAGUGAUGGAAAGAUGAAAAGAACUUUGAAAAGAGAGUGAAAAAGUACGUGAAAUUGUUGAAAGGGAAGGGCUUGAGAUCAGACUUGGUAUUUUGUAUGUUACUUCUUCGGGGGUGGCCUCUACAGUUUAUCGGGCCAGCAUCAGUUUGGGCGGUAGGAGAAUUGCGUUGGAAUGUGGCACGGCUUCGGUUGUGUGUUAUAGCCUUCGUCGAUACUGCCAGCCUAGACUGAGGACUGCGGUUUAUACCUAGGAUGUUGGCAUAAUGAUCUUAAGUCGCC